rnacentral:rRNA from 1 species
UACGUAGGGUCCGAGCGUUGUCCGGAAUUCCUGGGCGUAAAGCGCGCGCAGGCGGCCCGCGAGGUGUCACGUUAAAGCCCCGGGCUCAACCCGGGAGGGUCGUGGCAAACCGGCGGGCUUGAGGCCGGUAGAGGUGGGUGGAACUCCUGGUGGAGUGGUGAAAUGCGUAGAGAUCAGGAAGAACACCCGUGGCGAAGGCGGCCCACUGGGCCGGUACUGACGCUGAGGCGCGAAGGCGUGGGGAGCGAACGGG